rnacentral:rRNA from 1 species
GAACUUAAGCAUAUCAAUAAGCGGAGGAAAAGAAACCAACAGGGAUUGCCUCAGUAACGGCGAGUGAAGCGGCAACAGCUCAAAUUUGAAAUCUGACCCCUUCGGGGCCCGAGUUGUAAUUUGUAGAGGAUGCUUCGGGCGCGGCGCCGGUCUAAGUUCCUUGGAACAGGACGUCAUAGAGGGUGAGAAUCCCGUAUGCGACCGGCCGUCAACCCCAUGUGAAGCCCCUUCGACGAGUCGAGUUGUUUGGGAAUGCAGCUCAAAAUGGGUGGUAAAUUUCAUCUAAAGCUAAAUACCGGCCAGAGACCGAUAGCGCACAAGUAGAGUGAUCGAAAGAUGAAAAGCACUUUGGAAAGAGAGUCAAACAGUACGUGAAAUUGUUGAAAGGGAAGCGCUUGCAACCAGACCUGUCCGCGGGCGAUCAACCGUUAUUCUUAGCGGUGCACUCGUCCGCGAUCAGGCCAGCAUCGGUUCAGGCGGCCGGAUAAAGGCCUCGGGAAUGUAGCUCCUUCCGGGGAGUCUUAUAGCCUGGGGUGCAAUGCGGCCAGCCUGGACCGAGGACCGCGCUUCGGCUAGGAUGCUGGCAUAAUGGUUGUAAGCGACCCGUCUUGAANCACGGACC